rnacentral:rRNA from 1 species
GUUAUAUGGUCAAGUGAAGAAGCGCAUACGGUGGAUGCCUUGGCAGUCAGAGGCGAUGAAAGACGUGGUAGCCUGCGAAAAGCUUCGGGGAGUCGGCAAACAGACUUUGAUCCGGAGAUCUCUGAAUGGGGGAACCCACCUAGGAUAACCUAGGUAUCUUGUACUGAAUCCAUAGGUGCAAGAGGCGAACCAGGGGAACUGAAACAUCUAAGU